rnacentral:rRNA from 1 species
UAAGCGUGUCCCUUGUACCGACUGGAUGAGCAGCGAACCGGGUGAGUAACGCGUGGGGAAUCUGCCUUUGAGCGGGGGACAACAUUUGGAAACGAAUGCUAAUACCGCAUAAAAACUUUAAACACAAGUUUUAAGUUUGAAAGAUGCAAUUGCAUCACUCAAAGAUGAUCCCGCGUUGUAUUAGCUAGUUGGUGAGGUAAAGGCUCACCAAGGCGAUGAUACAUAGCCGACCUGAGAGGGUGAUCGGCCACAUUGGGACUGAGACACGGCCCAAACUCCUACGGGAGGCAGCAGUAGGGAAUCUUCGGCAAUGGACGAAAGUCUGACCGAGCAACGCCGCGUGAGUGAAGAAGGUUUUCGGAUCGUAAAACUCUGUUGGUAGAGAAGAACGUUGGUGAGAGUGGAAAGCUCAUCAAGUGACGGUAACUACCCAGAAAGGGACGGCUAACUACGUGCCACAGCCGCGGUAAUACUUAGGUCCCCGAGCGUUGUCCGGAUUUAUUGGGCGUAAAGCGAGCGCAGGUGGUUUAUUAAGUCUGGUGUAAAAAGGCAGUGGCUCAACCAUUGUAUGCAUUGGAAAACUGGGUAAACUUGAGUGCAGGAAAGGAGAGUGUAAUUCCCAUGUGUAGCGUGAAAUGGCUUAAAUAUAUGGAGGAACACCGGUGGCAAAAGCCGGCUCUCUGGCCCUGUA